UCAGGCCUAACACAUGCAAGUCGAGCGCGCCUUCGGGCGAGCGGCGGACGGGUUAGUAACGCGUGGGAACGUGCCCAGAUCUACGGAAUAGCCACUGGAAACGGUGAGUAAUACCGUAUACGCCCUUCGGGGGAAAGAUUUAUCGGAUUUGGAUCGGCCCGCGUUAGAUUAGGUAGUUGGUGGGGUAACGGCCUACCAAGCCUACGAUCUAUAGCUGGUUUUAGAGGAUGAUCAGCAACACUGGGACUGAGACACGGCCCAGACUCCUACGGGAGGCAGCAGUGGGGAAUCUUGGACAAUGGGGGCAACCCUGAUCCAGCCAUGCCGCGUGAGUGAAGAAGGCCCUGGGGUCGUAAAACUCUUUCGCCUGUGAUGAUAAUGACAGUAGCAGGUAAAGAAACCCCGGCUAACUCCGUGCCAGCAGCCGCGGUAAUACGGAGGGGGUUAGCGUUGUUCGGAAUUACUGGGCGUAAAGCGCACGUAGGCGGAUUAGAAAGUUAGAGGUGAAAUCCCGGGGCUCAACCCCGGAACUGCCUUUAAAACUACUAGUCUAGAGUUCGAGAGAGGUGAGUGGAAUUCCGAGUGUAGAGGUGAAAUUCGUAGAUAUUCGGAGGAACACCAGUGGCGAAGGCGGCUCACUGGCUCGAUACUGACGCUGAGGUGCGAAAGUGUGGGGGAGCAAACAGGAUUAGAUACCCUG
rnacentral:rRNA from 1 species